GGAAUUAGGGUUCGAUUCCGGAGAGGGAGNCUGAGAAACGGCUACCACUUCCAAGGAAGGCAGCNNGCGCGCAAAUUACCCAAUCCCGACACGGGGAGGUAGUGACAAUAAAUAACAAUACGGGGCUCUUUCGGGUCUCGUAAUUGGAAUGAGUACAAUUUAAAUCCCUUAACGAGGAACAAUUGGAGGGCAAGUCUGGUGCCAGCAGCCGCGGUAAUUCCAGCUCCAAUAGCGUAUAUUAAAGUUGUUGCAGUUAAAAAGCUCGUAGUUGAAUUUCGGGAUUGACGUGAUGGUCGUGCCUUAAGGGGUAUGAACUGUCGCAGUUGAUUUCUCACCUUCUGGAGAAGCAUGAUGUCCUUAAUUGGGUGUCAUGUGGAACCAGGACCUUUACCUUGAAAAAAUUAGAGUGUUUAAAGCAGGCAUUUUGCUCGAAUACAUUAGCAUGGAAUAAUAGAAUAGGACGGCAUGGUUCUAUUUUGUUGGUUUCUAGGAUCACCGUAAUGAUUAAUAGGGAUAGUUGGGGGCAUUAGUAUUCAAUUGUCAGAGGUGAAAUUCUUGGAUUUAUUGAAGACUAACUACUGCGAAAGCAUUUGCCAAGGAUGUUUUCAUUAAUCAAGAACGAAAGUUAGGGGAUCGAAGACG
rnacentral:rRNA from 1 species